UGAGUGCGAGCUGCUACGGCAGCGAAGUUGGUGACGUCAAGCUUCCAAGAAAAGCCCUAUACCCGUUAAGGCAUCAUGGCCUGUACCCGAAACCGACACAGGUGGGGUGGUAGAGAAUACCGAGGGGCGCAAGGUAACUCUCUCUAAGGAACUCGGCAAAAUGGCCCCGUAACUUCGGGAGAAGGGGUGCCACCGCAAGGUGGUCGCAGUGAAGAGGCCCAGGCGACUGUUUACCAAAAACACAGGUCUCCGCUAAGUCGCAAGACGAUGUAUGGGGGCUGACGCCUGCCCAGUGCCGGAAGGUUAAGGAAGCUGGUCAGCGCAAGCGAAGCUGGCGACUGAAGCCCCGGUGAACGGCGGCCGUAACAAUAACGGUCCUAAGGUAGCGAAAUUCCUUGUCGGGUAAGUUCCGACCCGCACGAAAGGCGUAACGAUCUGGGCGCUGUCUCGGAGAGAGGCUCGGCGAAAUAGAAUUGUCUGUGAAGAUGCGGACUACGUGCACCCGGACAGAAAGACCCUAUGAAGCUUUACUGUAGCUUGGUAUUGUGCCCGGGCUCUGAAUGCGCAGGAUAGGUGGGAGGCUUUGAUCAUCGGCUUGCGGGUCGAUGUGAGCCAACGGUGAGAUACCACUCUUUCAGAGCUAGGGUUCUAACAGUCACCCGUUAUCCGGGGACUGGACAGUAUCAGGUGGGCAGUUUGACUGGGGCGGUCGCCUCCUAAAAGGUAACGGAGGCGCGCAAAGGUCUGCUCAGGCUGGUUGGAAAUCAGCCGACGAGUGUAAAAGCAGAAGCAGGCUUGACUGUGAGACCUACAAGUCGAACAGGGAGGAAACUCGGCUUUAGUGAUCCGACGGUUCUGCGUGGAAGGGCCGUCGCUCAACGGAUAAAAGUUACUCUAAGGAUAACAGGCUGAUCUCCCCCAAGAGUUCACAUCGACGGGGAGGUUUGGCACCUCGAUGUCGGCUCAUCGCAACCUGGGGCUGAAGUCGGUCCCAAGGGUUGGGCUGUUCGCCCAUUAAAGCGGUACGCGAGCUGGGUUCAGAACGCCGUGAGACAGUUCGGUCCAUAUCCGGUGCAUGCGCAGGAAUAUUGAGAGGAGUUCUCCCUAGUACGAGAGGACCGGGAGGAACGCACCUCUGGUGUACCAGUUAUCGUGCCAACGGUAAACGCUGGGUAGCCAUGUGCGGAGAGGAUAACCGCUGAAAGCAUCUAAGUGGGAAGCCCACCUCAAGAUGAGUAUUCCCAUGGCGUUAGCCAGUAAGGUCACGGGAAGAACACCCGUUGAUAGGCUCUAUGUGGAAGCGCAGUAAUGCGUGAAGCAGAGGAGUACUAAUAGACCGAGGGCUUGAC
rnacentral:rRNA from 1 species